rnacentral:rRNA from 1 species
GACGAACGCUGGCGGCGUGCUUAACACAUGCAAGUCGAACGGAGUGGCGAACGGGUGAGUCACACGUGGGUGCUCUGCCUUGCACUUCUGGAUAAGCUUGGGGAACUGGGUCUAAUACCGGAUAGUGCAAGAUGAGCUCGCGGCCUAUCAGCUUGUGGGUGGGGUAAUGGCCUACCAAGGCGUCGACGGGUAGCCGGCCUGAGAGGGUGUACGGCCACACUGGGACUGAGAGACGGCCCAGACUGCUACGGGAGGCAGCAGGGGGGAAUAUUGCACAAUGGGCGGAAGCCUGAUGCAGCGACGCCGCGGGGGGGAGGAAGGCCUUCGUGUUGUAAACUCCUUUCGACAGGGACGCGGUACCUGUAUAAGAAGCACCGGCUAACUACGUGCCAGCAGCCGCGGUAAUUC